ACAUGGCUCAGGAUGAACGCCGGCGGUGUGCCUAAUACAUGCAAGUCGAACGCGUUGGCCCAAUUGAUUGAUGGUGCUUGCACCUGAUUGAUUUUGGUCGCCAACGAGUGGCGGACGGGUGAGUAACACGUAGGUAACCUGCCCAGAAGCGGGGGACAACAUUUGGAAACAGAUGCUAAUACCGCAUAACAACGUUGUUCGCAUGAACAACGCUUAAAAGAUGGCUUCUCGCUAUCACUUCUGGAUGGACCUGCGGUGCAUUAGCUUGUUGGUGGGGUAAUGGCCUACCAAGGCGAUGAUGCAUAGCCGAGUUGAGAGACUGAUCGGCCACAAUGGGACUGAGACACGGCCCAUACUCCUACGGGAGGCAGCAGUAGGGAAUCUUCCACAAUGGGCGCAAGCCUGAUGGAGCAACACCGCGUGAGUGAAGAAGGGUUUCGGCUCGUAAAGCUCUGUUGUUAAAGAAGAACACGUAUGAGAGUAACUGUUCAUACGUUGACGGUAUUUAACCAGAAAGUCACGGCUAACUACGUGCCAGCAGCCGCGGUAAUACGUAGGUGGCAAGCGUUAUCCGGAUUUAUUGGGCGUAAAGAGAGUGCAGGCGGUUUUCUAAGUCUGAUGUGAAAGCCUUCGGCUUAACCGGAGAAGUGCAUCGGAAACUGGAUAACUUGAGUGCAGAAGAGGGUAGUGGAACUCCAUGUGUAGCGGUGGAAUGCGUAGAUAUAUGGAAGAACACCAGUGGCGAAGGCGGCUACCUGGUCUGCAACUGACGCUGAGACUCGAAAGCAUGGGUAGCGAACAGGAUUAGAUACCCUGGUAGUCCAUGCCGUAAACGAUGAGUGCUAGGUGUUGGAGGGUUUCCGCCCUUCAGUGCCGGAGCUAACGCAUUAAGCACUCCGCCUGGGGAGUACGACCGCAAGGUUGAAACUCAAAGGAAUUGACGGGGGCCCGCACAAGCGGUGGAGCAUGUGGUUUAAUUCGAAGCUACGCGAAGAACCUUACCAGGUCUUGACAUCUUGCGCCAACCCUAGAGAUAGGGCGUUUCCUUCGGGAACGCAAUGACAGGUGGUGCAUGGUCGUCGUCAG
rnacentral:rRNA from 2 species